GGCUCAGAUUGAACGCUGGCGGCAUGCUUUACACAUGCAAGUCGAACGGUAACAGGUCUUCGGAUGCUGACGAGUGGCGAACGGGUGAGUAAUGCAUCGGAACGUGCCCAGUCGUGGGGAUAACGUAGCGAAAGUUACGCUAAUACCGCAUACGAUCUAUGGAUGAAAGCGGGGGACUCGCAAGAGCCUCGCGCGAUUGGAGCGGCCGAUAUCAGAUUAGGUAGUUGGUGGGGUAAAGGCUCACCAAGCCAACGAUCUGUAGCUGGUCUGAGAGGACGACCAGCCACACUGGAACUGAGACACGGUCCAGACUCCUACGGGAGGCAGCAGUGGGGAAUUUUGGACAAUGGACGCAAGUCUGAUCCAGCCAUUCCGCGUGCAGGAUGAAGGCCCUCGGGUUGUAAACUGCUUUUGUACGGAACGAAAAGGUCUCUAUUAAUACUAGGGGCUCAUGACGGUACCGUAAGAAUAAGCACCGGCUAACUACGUG
rnacentral:rRNA from 1 species